GGGGGUAUGGCUCAGUGGUAAAGCACAUGCUUAGUAUGUGUGAGGAUCUGGGUUCAAUCCCCAGUGCCUCCA
rnacentral:tRNA from 1 species